UCCAAGCUUUCCUUGUCUGUUCUGGGUUUGGAUGUCUGACACUGAAGAGAUUUAACACUCAACGUCAGUGACAGCUCUUUGGAGGACAAACAGACUCAAAGCCAUUCUCAAGGAUUCUUCUUUUAUUUCUAAAACAUCUUUUGACCACUGGAAAGGCUGCUGAACUUGCCUUUUGUUUCUUUCAGUGUGUUCACAGAAGAACUGGACAGGGAAAGGGUAUCACAGCCCUAGCUUUUUCUUUUCUUUCUUCUUUUCCUUCUACUUGAAAGACUCCUUUGUUCCACUUCCAGUUUCUGGUCUGGAGAAAGUUACAAAAGAUCAAGGGGGAAAGAAAAGACUGGUUACUUCUGUGUUCUCAGCCUGGCAGGCUGUGGCUACACAGGCAUUUACAGAUUGGGAAAAGCAGAUACCAGCCUUAUUCCUGUAGCCUAAUGGCUUUAUCGUGACUACAUUAGUGUUGCCAGUGAGUUCUCAUGUCAACUGGGAGUGAAGGUUUCACUUGACUUGAGCUGACGCUAGAAACACACAAUCCCACAGUUGGCUGGCAGCUGUGGUUGGGUUUAAUUAGAGUAAGUGGAAAAUGGAUCAGCUGUUUUCACUUCUUUUGCUACACAAUCUCCAACCUGCUUUUUUAUUUAUGGAAUGUUUUCUCUGGGAGAUAAAACUGCAAAUCAAGUGAAAUGAAGUGAGAUGAGCUUUUAAAUGUCCAGAAAGGUUGUCUAGAGGAAGCACUGCCAAGGACCUCAUUAGGUGACACCGGAGGAAGCCAAACCCACUGUUCUCCAUUGAAAGCAGGCAGCCUUUCGCAACUCUUUGAUAUCCUGUCACUGUGGUGAUUUGGCAGUAAUCUUGGCAGGAUGAAUGGAGUGGAGGUGGAAAAAAAAUCUCCUUUGUGUGGUGACACUUGGCUGGAAUUGCUCCACAGAAUUUUAUGCCUGGAACUAAAUGAAAUUGUCCACCAUUAUGCUAAUAGGCAUGGCCACUCAGUAAAGCAUUUCUGGAGAACCUUGGGCUGAUCUCACUUUUGCCCUGUGUCCAGAAGUCUUCCAGGAAUAACAGGUAAUGAUUGCUCUGGAAUGAUCUGAGGCCCUUCUCUGCCUACUGGUCUCAGUUGGGAGUGUCAAAUAACGGUGAUGCUCAUUAGUCACGAUCUGAAUAUUCUCCUUUCAGGGACAUUGCCUGUAGAUGGGUAAGUUCAUUUCCUCUCUGCUUCCUUUGAGUCUAGCAUUACAAAGGGUGUGGUGUUCCCUGUCAAGUUCCAACACCUGCUUUGCAACAACACUCCCCAUGCUAUUGUCUGCUGUGAUUCAAGCCUCAAUGUUAACACUAAUUUACUGAAUAAAACUAUUUCAUCUCCA